rnacentral:rRNA from 1 species
AUUGAACGCUGGCGGCAGGCCUAACACAUGCAAGUCGAGCGGAGCGGCGGACGGGUGAGUAAUUCCUAGGAAUCUGCCUGGUACUGGGGGAUAACGUCCGGCAACGGGCGCUAAUACCGCAUACUCUCAGAUGAGCCUAGGUCGGGUUAGCUAGUGGGUGGGGUAAAGGCCUACCAAGGCGACGAUCCGUAACUGGUCUGAGAGGAUGAUCAGUCAGAAUGGAACGGAGACACGGUCCAGACGCCUACGGGAGGCAGCAGAGGGGAAUAUUGGACAAUGGGGGCAAGACUGAUGCAGCCAGGCCGCGUGUAUGAAGAAGGCCGUCGGGUUGUAAAGUACUGUCAGCGGGGAGGCGUUACCCGCAGAAGAAGCAACGGCUAACUCCGUGCCAGCAGCCGCGGUAAUAC